AUGAAUAAACUUGGUUUAGACUGUUGCUGGCCUUUCUUUGAGGGCAUGUGCACGCCUAUUCCGAAUUUACAACCACCUGUGCACCUUGUGUGGAUCUGAAUAAACUCUCGAGAUUUAAACUCGGUUUGAAGGAUUGCCGUGCGUGAUGCCAGCUUUCCUUUAUUCUUUCAGAUCUAUGUUUUAUUAUACCCCAUAUUCAAGUAUUUGAAUGCGAUAAUAAAGGCAUUUUGCCUGUAAACAUAUAUA
rnacentral:misc_RNA from 1 species